GGGUCAGUAGGUUGGUCGUGCCACCGGUACGUACUGGUCUCACUGACUCCUCCAUCCUGAAGAACCGUAAUGCCAUUAAUUUGGUGUUGCGGGGAAACAGGACUGUUACUUUGAAAAAAUUAGAGUGUUUAAAGCAAGCUAACGCUUGAAUACAUUAGCAUGGAAUAAUGAAAUAGGACGAUCGAUCCUAUUUUGUUGGUUUCUAGGAUUGACGUA
rnacentral:rRNA from 1 species